AUCUGAUCACCCUCACCUGUGGAUUUCCUGAACCAACUCUUGUCUGCCUGAAUUCUGCCUUGGUUAGCCCCUGCAACCCUGUUCCAGUCUUGGUUUAACUCCUGCGUUUCUGAUGCAACUUAAAUCAAGCAUUUAAUUAUUUGCCCAGUGCUGAAGCUUUGGUUAAAUACUUUUUUACCUUAAAGGGACACUAUAGUCACCAAAACAACUUAAGUUUAAUGAAGCAGUUUUGGUGUAUAGAUCAUGCCCCUGCAUUCUUACGGCUCAAUUGUCUGCUGCCAUUUAGGAGUUAAAUCACUUUGUUUAUAAACCCUAGUCACACCUCCCCUGCAUGUGACUUGCAUAGCCUUCCUAAACACUUCCUGUAAAGAGUCAUCUACAGUUUAUCCUUCCUUUAUUGCAAGUUCUGUUUAAUUUAGAUUUUCGUAUCCCCUGCUAUGUUAAUAGCUUGCUAGACCCUACAAGAGCCUCUUGUAUGUUAUUUUUAUUUUAAUUUUGGAAGAGGGUGUGGACAACCCUAACUUUUGUAAGAAGACUAAACAGUUUGCUUAGAACGAACAACAAACUUGUCCUACAUAUCACCCGAGCCGUGACAAGGCUGUUCCUCAGCCAGUCAGCUAACGAUUAAUCGUCAGAAAUCUCUUCUCUCCCCAAGUAAGAAGUGACCAGAACUGUUUUCCUGGCACUAUAGGGUUAUUAAGUUGCCCCUCCCCCCACCCUCGUGAACAUUAAGCAGGGGGGACCAUUAAAAGAGAGUGGAAGUUUUUCAUAUUAGAUUCAUUAAAUUCAUUAAAAAGUCUAAUAUUAAAAAAAUUAUAGGAAAUAACCUUUUUUUCUUUUUAAAUCAUUUGGGGGAAAAAAGUCAUUUUUGUUUUCGGCCAAGGGCAUCCUGAAUUUUCGGUUUCGGCCCAGAAGUUUCAUUUCGGUGCAUCCCUACUUUCUAGAUCUCUUCACUUUCUGAUGGAUCAUGCAGGCUCAGGCCCACCAAACCUAGCUGUGUGAUACAAAAAGUGAAUACAAAACGAAAAGUCCUGCGCUCACUCCCAUCACUCCUGGGCGGCAUAGGGGUGUAUAUAAAAAAUACCCCUUUCUGACCUCCAUUUGUUUAAAUAUACAUAGUGAUUAAGGAGAGACCGCAGGUAACUUUUUCUUUGGUUUUUACUAUAUAUAUUGGAGCUGAUGUGUACUGUGGUCGUUGCUGCCGCCCGGGAGUGAGGGGAGUGAGCACUGGACUUUUCUUUUUGUAUUUGUAUUCACUUUUUGUAUCACACAGCUAGGUUACAAUGCUGCCGCCCAUCCCAUGUGUUCCCUAUUAAGGGUUCAUAAGUAAAUAGGGGUGUCUCAUUAGAGAAUUCUUGCCAGAAGCUCAAGGAAGCAAGGUGAAUGGUCAGAAUAGGACCUGUCUAGGGGGGGUCUGCCUUGAUGUUGGCAGGCGGGCAUUCCCUCCAGUGGCCAUUGGAGUACCUAAAUGACCUCCAUUAGUUUAAAUAUACAUAAGGAUUUAGGAGAGAGGGCAGAUAACUUUUUACCUUUGGAUUUUACAUUCUAGUGCAAAACGACAGAACGAAUUAUAUAACAUUUUAAGCUUAAGGGGUUUGUGAUGCAGGUGCAUACACUACAUCCCCAUAAUCAAUGACCGGCAUUAGCAUUUGUUGCACUGUUUCCUAACUGCAGGGCUUAGGCAGGAUUUGUUUCUGUACAUGACACCUAAUUUGGGGUAAAGUUUUGAAGAGAUUUUUUCAAUGUGAAGCCCAAAGGAUAGAUUGGAGUCUAGCAACAUAUCUAGAUAUUUUAAAGAACAGACUGCUGUCAGUGUGCUAUUUGAAUUUGUUCUGAUACAUAGUUGUUGAUUUUGUAGUUUACGCAAUUUAGGUACAGUUCCAAAGAUCAUUGUAACUGUUUUGUCAGUGUUUAGGAAGAGUUUGUUAACCGCAAUCCAUCUUUCUACCUCUGUGAAUUGGUUUUGGAGCACAGCCUUAAGCUGCACUAGAUUGGGUUUACUAGCGUAGAUUACAGUGUCGUCUGCAUACAUGUGUACAGUUGAGGAUUUGCAGACGUUAGGCAGAUCAUUUAUAAACAAUGUGAAUAGCAGGUGGACAAAUAUGGAGCCUUGAGGAACACCACACUGGCUGUAAGAGGGAAAGAGGCGCUAUCAGAAAUGGCCACAUAUUGCAAUCUGUCUGAAACAUGAUCGAAACCAGGUUAGCGGACGAUCACCAAUGCCUGAGUUUUUAAGUUUUUGCAAAAGAAUGCCAUGGUCUAAUGUGCCAAAGGCCUUGGCAAAAUCAAG